rnacentral:rRNA from 1 species
GCAGUUAAAAAGCUCGUAGUUGGAUCUAGGGACGCGCAUUUCAAGCGCCCGUGCCAUCGGGUCAAACCGGUGGCUGCGUUGGCGUUGCGGGCUCGGUCCGUCGGUGGCCCCACAAAGGUCUAUCGGCGUGUCAACCGGCCCGCCCGUCCCCUCCUUCUGGAUUCCCGUUCCUGCUAUUGAGUUAGUGGGGACGUCACAGGGGGUCCAUCGUCGACGUUUCAACGCGUCGGCGGUGGAUCUCUGGGGCCCAGAUCGUUUACCGUGAAAAAAUUAGAGUGUUCAAAGCAGGCAGAUUCAAUUUUCUGCCACCGAAUACAUUAGCAUGGGAUAAUGGAAUAGGACCCUGUCCUCCUAUUUUCAGUUGGUUUUGGCAGCGCGAGGACUAGGGUAAUGAUUAAUAGGGAUAGUUGGGGGCAUUAAUAUUUAAUUGUCAGAGGUGAAAUUCUUGGAUUUAUGAAAGAUUAACUUCUGCGAAAGCAUCUGCCAAGGAUGUUUUCAUUAAUCAAGAACGAAAGUUAGGGGAUCGAAGACGAUCAGAUACCGUCGUAGUCUUAACCAUAAACGAUGCCGACCAGCGAUUAGGAGACGUUGAAUACAAAACACCACCAUCGGCGCGGUCGUCCUUGGCGCGUUCGUGUUCACGCACGGGCGCGCGAGGGCGGUUUAGCCCGGUGGCACCGGUGAAUGACUCCCCUAGCAGCUUGUGAGAAAUCAUAAGUCUUUGGGUUCCGGGGGGAGUAUGGUCGCAAGGCUGAAACUUAAAGGAAUUGACGGAAGGGCACCACCAGGAGUGGAGCCUGCGGCUUAAUUUGACUCAACACGGGGAAACUUACCAGGUCCGGACAUAGUAAGGAU